AUUGAACGCUGGCGGCAGGCCUAACACAUGCAAGUCGAGCGGAUGAAGGGAGCUUGCUCCUGGAUUCAGCGGCGGACGGGUGAGUAAUGCCUAGGAAUCUGCCUGGUAGUGGGGGAUAACGUCCGGAAACGGGCGCUAAUACCGCAUACGUCCUGAGGGAGAGAGUGGGGGAUCUUCGGACCUCACGCUAUCAGAUGAGCCUAGGUCGGAUUAGCUAGUUGGUGGGGUAAAGGCCUACCAAGGCGACGAUCCGUAACUGGUCUGAGAGGAUGAUCACUCACACUGGAACUGAGACACGGUCCAGACUCCUACGGGAGGGAGCAGUGGGGAAUAUUGGACAGUGGGCGGAAGCAUGAUCCAGCCGUGCCGAGUGUGUGGAAGAGGUCUUCGGAUUGUAAAGCACUUUAAGGUGGGAGGAAGGGCAGUAAGUUAAUACCUUGCGGUUUUGACGUUACCAGCAGAAUAAGCACCGGCUAACUUCGUG
rnacentral:rRNA from 1 species